rnacentral:rRNA from 1 species
CGGUGAUUAGUGGCGAACGGGUGAGUAACACGUGAGUAACCUGCCCUUAACUCUGGGAUAAGCCUGGGAAACUGGGUCUAAUACCGGAUAUGACUCCUCAUCGCAUGGUGGGGGGUGGAAAGCUUUAUUGUGGUUUUGGAUGGACUCGCGGCCUAUCAGCUUGUUGGUGAGGUAAUGGCUCACCAAGGCGACGACGGGUAGCCGGCCUGAGAGGGUGACCGGCCACACUGGGACUGAGACACGGCCCAGACUCCUACGGGAGGCAGCAGUGGGGAAUAUUGCACAAUGGGCGCAAGCCUGAUGCAGCGACGCCGCGUGAGGGAUGACGGCCUUCGGGUUGUAAACCUCUUUCAGUAGGGAAGAAGCGAAAGUGACGGUACCUGCAGAAGAAGCGCCGGCUAACUACGUGCCAGCAGCCGCGGUAAUACGUAGGGCGCAAGCGUUAUCCGGAAUUAUUGGGCGUAAAGAGCUCGUAGGCGGUUUGUCGCGUCUGCCGUGAAAGUCCGGGGCUCAACUCCGGAUCUGCGGUGGGUACGGGCAGACUAGAGUGAUGUAGGGGAGACUGGAAUUCCCUGGUGUAGCGGUGAAAUGCGCAGAUAUCAGGAGGAACACCGAUGGCGAAGGCAGGUCUCUGGGCAUUAACUGACGCUGAGGAGCGAAAGCAUGGGGAGCGAACAGGAUUAGAUACCCUGGUAGUCCAUGCCGUAAACGUUGGGCACUAGGUGUGGGGGACAUUCCACGUUUUCCGCGCCGUAGCUAACGCAUUAAGUGCCCCGCCUGGGGAGUACGGCCGCAAGGCUAAAACUCAAAGGAAUUGACGGGGGCCCGCACAAGCGGCGGAGCAUGCGGAUUAAUUCGAUGCAACGCGAAGAACCUUACCAAGGCUUGACAUGGGCCGGACCGGGCUGGAAACAGUCCUUCCCCUUUGGGGCCGGUUCACAGGUGGUGCAUGGUUGUCGUCAGCUCGUGUCGUGAGAUGUUGGGUUAAGUCCCGCAACGAGCGCAACCCUCGUUCCAUGUUGCCAGCGCGUAAUGGCGGGGACUCAUGGGAGACUGCCGGGGUCAACUCGGAGGAAGGUGGGGACGACGUCAAAUCAUCAUGCCCCUUAUGUCUUGGGCUUCACGCAUGCUACAAUGGCCGGUACAAAGGGUUGCGAUACUGUGAGGUGGAGCUAAUCCCAAAAAGCCGGUCUCAGUUCGGAUUGGGGUCUGCAACUCGACCCCAUGAAGUCGGAGUCGCUAGUAAUCGCAGAUCAGCAACGCUGCGGUGAAUACGUUCCCGGGCCUUGUACACACCGCC